AGGCUAAUUUGCAACCCCUGUUGUCAGGCAUACCACCCUGCAUGAGUCCACCCGAGUCAGAAAAGUCUGGACAUGCCCCUGCUGACAGACUUAAGAUGUUUUGAAGCAUGCAUAAAUCUACUGCAUUACAUUGCAGGUGUUAUUAUUAUUUAGCUCCCUAACAAUGUUUGCAAUGAAUGCAUAAUGUGAUGUGUUUUCUGUCCAGGAGCUGACCUCAGACCCUGCAGGGUCUCGGUCUGCUGCAGGGACCGGUCAGGACACGGCUGAUCCUGAAGGCGGGGUUUCCUACGCCUCCAUCAGAUACAACAAGAAGGGGAAAAGAGAAGCUCGGGUUUGUGCUAAAGACGAUGCUGACGAUGGUUCAGUGACCUAUGCCUCCGUCAAAGCUUCUUCUUCUUCUACUGCUGCAGGAGCCUCUGCUGAUCCCAGCAUCCUCUACGCCACCAUCAACAAAGAGAAGAAAUAAGAAUCCAAAGUAAAGUUACAACUCAGGUUUUUUCAGCAUUCUACACUGAAAACUACGGAGCCCUACAAGGCUCAGGUAGGACAAAAUUAAAAGCAAUUUGUAAAUCUUUUUUUCACGGUUUACAAAUCUGUGUGCACAGUUUAUAAACAGUGCCCAUGGAUUUGUAAACCGUGUGCAUGGAUUUGCAAUCUGCAGGCACACUUUCAGUUUAAGAAACCGUGCGCACUGUUUUGAAAUCUGUGUGCACCAUUUAGGAAUCUGUGCCCACAGAUUGUAAAUCAGUGUGCAUGGAUUUGUUGAAAUGAUCGACAGCUUUUUAUUUUUUGUCUCACCUGAGCCUUGCAGGGCUCAGUAGAAAACAGAUACUGAUAGAUGUGUUUGUAUAAGACUUUGUGUUGAUGACUUUCAAGAGUUAUUGCUUUAAGAUGCUUUUCCUUCAAAAGAGGGCGUUGUAGGUUUACUAGUAGCACAAAGACCUAGCAUAAUACCUCUGCAUGAAAUGUAAAUCUACGGAGAUCCUGAAGUCCCAAAAGUUAAAAAAAGAUAUUGGGCACACCAGUUAAUAUCUUGUGUGAACACGAUACUAACAAACCUUUGACUACAUGCUAGUGUGUGUGAGCACUGACUGUUUCUUGUCUUAAUCCUUGCACACAGGAUAUUCACUUGUGAGCACAACAUAACAUCUUGUGCACAAGUUAGAUGAUAACUCAAGUGCACAAGAUAUUUUUUUCCACUUUUUAGGACUUCAGGGGCUCCAUAUAAACCAGCUUUUAAAAUAAGUUUAUAUACGCAGCAGGCACUUUGAUGUGCAUGUGUUAAGUUGUAGUUUCUCAUCACUGCUCAGAUCAUUCUGUAUGUACUGAGAGGUACAUGACUGAGAAGAGGAAGUGAGAUAACGAUCAUCUUGACUAAGUCACAUCCGAGAGUCUGUAGAAACCCAUAAAAGGCUAAAUCGACAGAGUGUGAACUUCAUGACAGAUAAAGGAGGAACCAGAAAGUGGGGUAAUAUACACUUUACUAAUAAGAGGAAGGUGAGGAAUAGUUCUCUUGAUGCAGCUCCAGGUUAGACGCUUAAAAGAAGAGAGAGGAGAGAGACAUGAGGGUUCAGUUGUUGAAAUGUUUUCUUCUGAACAUCAUAAAAUAGCUCUUCAACUCGAUUU